rnacentral:RNase_P_RNA from 1 species
CGGAGCGAUGCGGGCCGUGCUACAAUGAAAGCCCGAGGAAAGUCCGAACUCCACAGGGCAGUGUGCCUCGUAACGCGAGGGAGGGGCGACCCUACGGAAAGUGCCACAGAAAACAUACCGCCCCGCUUCGGCGGGGUAAGGGUGAAAAGGUGCGGUAAGAGCGCACCGCGCGGCUGGCAACAGCCGUGGCAGGGUAAACCCCACACGGAGCAAGGUCGAAUAGAAAAGCGAUCCCGCAAGGGAUUAAGGGCGGCUCGUCCGACGCUUUUGGGUAGACCGCAAGAUCCCGGGAGCGAUCCCGGGACCAGAGGAAUGAUUGCCGUCUCCGCUCGCGCGGAGAAACAGGAUUCGGCUUACGGCCAACUCCGACUC